UACGUAGGGGGCAAGCGUUGUUCGGAAUCACUGGGCUUAAAGGGCGCGUAGGCGGCCGGGUUGGUCGUGGGUGAAAUCCCCCAGCUUAACUGGGGAAUUGCCUACGAUACUGCCUGGCUCGAGGGAGGAAGGGGCGGCCGGAACUGUCGGUGGAGCGGUGAAAUGCGUUGAGAUCGACAGGAACGCCGGUGGCGAAAGCGGGCCGCUGGCCCUCUUCUGACGCUGAUGCGCGAAAGCCAGGGGAGCGAACGGG
rnacentral:rRNA from 1 species